rnacentral:rRNA from 1 species
GAUGAACGCUGGCGGCGUGCUUAACACAUGCAAGUCGAACGGAAAGGCCUCUGCUUGCAGGGGUACUCGAGUGGCGAACGGGUGAGUAACACGUGGGUGAUCUGCCCUGCACUUCGGGAUAAGCCUGGGAAACUGGGUCUAAUACCGGAUAGGACAAUGGUUUGGAUGCUGUUGUGGAAAGUUUUUCGGUGUGGGAUGAGCUCGCGGCCUAUCAGCCUGUUGGUGGGGUAAUGGCCUACCAAGGCGUCGACGGGUAGCCGGCCUGAGAGGGUGUACGGCCACAUUGGGACUGAGAUACGGCCCAGACUCCUACGGGAGGCAGCAGUGGGGAAUAUUGCACAAUGGGCGCAAGCCUGAUGCAGCGACGCCGCGUGGGGGAUGACGGCCUUCGGGUUGUAAACUCCUUUCGCUAGGGACGAAGCGUUUUUGUGACGGUACCUGGAGAAGAAGCACCGGCUAACUACGUG